GCGGUAGUUCAGUCGGUUAGAAUGCCGGCCUGUCACGCCGGAGGUCGCGGGUUCG
rnacentral:tRNA from 1 species